rnacentral:rRNA from 1 species
AUGAUUGAUCUGAAUGAACCGCCGCUUGACGUAGAGUCCAUCAACAUUUCAGUUGAGUUGGGUACACCCUUCUUACAUGCAGGUUAUGAGCAGGAGGAUCACCAUUUGGAGGAGGGGGUUGGUAAGUCCCCUGACCCCAACAUUGGCUCUAAUAGUGCUCAUGUCCCAAACAAUCAUGUCGCUGCUCCCCCACCCAUGGUUGCUCCUGCUAAUGCUUUAGUUGAUGAGGCACAUGAGUUGGAAGAUGAAGAAGCUAGGUCACAGCUGCAGCAACCUUAUGUUGGCAUGCGCUUCGACACAUUGGUUGAUGCGAGGGAACACUACAAUCGCUAUGCUUUGAUGGUGGGUUUUUCAAUCAAGUCGAAUACGUCCUACAGGCCCACACCGGCGUGCUGGAAAAACAACAAUUCUGCUGUAACAAGUUCCGCAAGCCGGUGGAGAGGGUUGGGGUCUCGGAUGUUGUCUCGUCCAGCAAAAACACCACAUGCCCAAGCUCACCUGACCAAGAUGUUGAAGAGGAUGGCGAAGAACACACUUAUACGAAGAAGAGGAAGCGAGAGACUAUAA